UUUUCACCAGACUAGAAUUUAUAGAUUAUUUGAAUUUAAAAUGAAAACCAAACUCAGACAAAAUAGAAAUCAUUCCAAUUGUUCAAGCUCUUAUUUUUCCUUUAAAAAUUGUACAAGUAAUUCAUAUUUGUUGUUAGAAUAUUAGAGGGUGAAAAUUAGCAAAAACUAAAGGUAAGAUAGAGAAUCUCUGGUAAUGUCUUCCUGCCUCUCAACUCUGCUUCAGUCUUGAGGACAGAGGAGCCUGGUGCGCUACAGUCCACGGGAUCGCAGAGUCGGAUGCAACUAACACAACACCCGAGGCCCUAGUCUCUCUUCAUCUUAUUUGCAGGCCUCUCCAUAUUUUGGCCACCUGAUGAGAAGAGCAGACUGAUUGGAAAAGACCCUGAUGCUGGGGAAGACUGAGGGCAGGAGGAGAAGGGUGUGACAGAGGAUGAGAUGGUUGGAUGGCAUCACCGCCUCAUUGGCCAUGAGUUUGGGCAAGCUACGGGAGAUUGUGAAGGACGGGGAAGGCUGGUGUGCUGCAGUCCAUGGGGUCACGAAGAGCUGGACACGACUGAAUGACUGAACAACAACGACAACUCUAGUCUUUUGAGCUUCCCAAUUUUUAGUGGUAAAAAAUUAGGCUUCCAAUGCAAGAUACUCAAGAGAUGUGAGUUUGAUCCCUGGGUUGGGAAGCUCCCCUGGAGGAGGAAAAGGUAACCCCCUCCAGUAUUCUUGCCUGGAAAAUUCCAUGGGCAGAGUCUGGUGGGCCCCAGUCCAUGGGGUCACGAAGAGUCAGACAUGACAUGAGUGGUCUUUUGGCAUCUUUUAAAAGACGGUCCACACUGUGUUAUUGUCAGUGCUGGCUUAGUCCUGAGCUGCUUUCCAUCUGCGUAAUCUUUUGAGUAAUCUCAUCUGCUCUCAUGAUUGUGGAUUCCAAAAAUAUAAUAUUUACACAAUUGCCUUGUCUUUGUCUGGUAUAAUUGUAGUUGCCCACUAGCUAAAACAGUCAAUUUAAAAUUCUUGUUGUAUGUCAAAAAACAGCACAGAAUGACUUGUUCACAUUUUGAUUGCAUUUACUAAAUAACUGAAUGCUGGAUUUAUCAUCCUUCUUUGCCCUUAUACCAUUUUCCUUUUAACUAUGUUGUGAAUAAAUUUCUAGUUGUACGAGGUAUAAAAAUUAUUAAAGGGAAAGGUAGGGGAAUUUGGGAGAUCUGAUUUCUUUUGGUCUUAAUUACUGACUGUAUUCAAUGUCUAGAUAAUUUGAUUCUGAGAUAAUUCUUGUGAGGUAAAUAUUGUAUAUAUUCU
ensembl:lncRNA